GAUGAACGCUGGCGGUCCGCUUAACACAUGCAAGUCGAACGAACUCUUCGGAGUGAGUGGCGGACGGGUGAGUAGCGCGUGAGAAUCUGCCUGUGGGUCGGGGACAACCACUGGAAACGGUGGCUAAUACCGGAUGAGCCGAAAGGUAAAAAAUUUAUUGCCCACAGAUGAGCUCGCGUCUGAUUAGCUAGUUGGUAAGGUAAAAGCGUACCAAGGCGACGAUCAGUAGCUGGUCUGAGAGGAUGAGCAGCCACACUGGGACUGAGACACGGCCCAGACUCCUACGGGAGGCAGCAGUGGGGAAUUUUCCGCAAUGGGCGAAAGCCUGACGGAGCAAGACCGCGUGGGGGAGGAAGGUUUUUGGAUCGUAAACCCCUUUGUCAAGGAAGAAGUUCUGACGGUACUUGACGAAUAAGCCUCGGCUAACUCCGUGCCAGCAGCCGCGGUAAUACGGAGGAGGCAAGCGUUAUCCGGAAUGAUUGGGCGUAAAGCGUCUGUAGGUGGCCAGCUAAGUCUGCUGUUAAAGAUCACAGCUCAACUGUGGGAAGGCAGUGGAAACUGGCAAGCUAGAGGCUGGUAGGGGUAAAGGGAAUUCCCGGUGUAGCGGUGAAAUGCGUA
rnacentral:rRNA from 1 species